rnacentral:rRNA from 1 species
GGGGGGGGCAAGCGUUGUUCGGAAUUACUGGGCGUAAAGGGCUCGUAGGUGGCCAACUAAGUCAGACGUGAAAUCCCUCGGCUUAACCGGGGAACUGCGUCUGAUACUGGAUGGCUUGAGUUUGGGAGAGGGACGCGGAAUUCCAGGUGUAGCGGUGAAAUGCGUAGAUAUCUGGAGGAACACCGGUGGCGAAGGCGGCGUCCUGGACCAACACUGACACUGAUGAGCGAAAGCCAGGGGAGCAAACGGGAUUAGAUACCCCGGUAGUCCUGGCCCUAAACGAUGAAUGCUUGGUGUGGCGGGUAUCGAUCCCUGCCGUGCCGAAGCUAACGCAUUAAGCAUUCCGCCUGGGGAGUACGGUCGCAAGGCUG